ensembl:lncRNA
AUGGAGGAACAAACAGCAAAGAGCGAUGCGAGGAAUGGUCUGCAGAAUGAUAUUCCACGACUGCAGUCUAUGCUGGCAAAACUUAAUCUAAUACACAAACAUCCCAAAACAGACAAUGUUAAAUUACAUCCAGGUACAGCCUGUAAAAGUAUGUUUUACCAUUCUCUGGAGCCUGAAGAAGGAAUAAAAAAUGAAGAAAACAGGAAAGAAAGCACAGUCAGAUCUGGUGAUGAGGAGCAACCAACUAGGAGUUCUGAAACAAAAGAUGGAAAUGAAGCUGUUGAAGAGGUCAAAGAGCUUCCAGAAGCAUUUCCUAAAUGGGAGAGGAAGAGUUUACUCCCUGACUGUUUGUCCAUAGAAAUCCAGAUGGGAAAAUUAGGUCGCCAGCCAAGAGAAAGUGAGUCUUUGGAGGACAAAAAGAGCAAAGAGAUGGAAGAGCAUGUGGCUGGAGCUGCAUUAUUGCCUAACAAUCAAUAUCAAGAAAUGUCUGCACACACAUCUUACCUCUCUGUGUCCUCCGAUAAAGUGGACUCUGCACAGAUGGGGUUGAAGCAUGAACCAGAUGAAGCUUGUGGUCCUUCAAAACAGUAUGUCAGUAUGGAUACAAGCAGGGUUCUAACCCAUCAAACAGCUGUGAAUGUUACAGGCAAGACAACAAGGUCCACUUCAGAUCCAGUAACCCAGGAAUCCAGUAAAUCCUUUAAUCCAAUAAAGGAAGAGAGACCCCUUUCAGCUCCAAGUAUUUCAAACCUACGGGAAUAUGAAAAGUAUGAAGAUUUUGCAAAUGCAAUGCCAGCCAAAAGCUUCAGCAAAGCUGCUAAGAUUUUGGGACAGGGGUAUUCAGGCAUGAGCAUAGGAAAUGUGGAACAUGACAACUCACUCACCAAAACGCAAAAGAAAGGAGUGAAAAACAAAAUGAAGAAUCUUACUCAAAAACUGAUGGAAAAGCUUAAAGAUAAACAUGAUUGUGAGCACGCUGGCAGGAGGAGCACCCAAGACAGCAUGGAAGAAGAAGAAGGACAAAAACUGAAUUCCAUGGAGGUGGAAGCCGAGGCUCAAGAUAUUCCACCACCACUUCCACCAAAAAUGGGGAAAUAUGUUUUCUUAGAAAGAACAUUUACCCUAAAAGACUUCAAACUCAAUCUUGAACCUAUCAACUUAAUGGAAGAAAUAUUCACAGGCAGCGAAUGGCUCAGUUACUUGCCCAUCAAAGAAAGUCCAGCUGAGAAAGAAACUAGUGAUCAGUCAAUGACAAAUGAUGUUCUCCGACCAGAAAAGGACAUUCAGCUCGAUGUUCCUCCCCCGACAGCAGAGCAGGACCAGUCAGAGGACAUAAAGACACCAGAGGAGGACCAGCCAGAGGAUGUAAAGACACCAGAGGAGGACCAGCCAGAGGACGUUAAGGUCAAUCAAGACAGUGCUAGUGAUCCUCAAGAGGACAAUGUAGCAAAAGUGAAAAGUGACUUGGAUGUAAAACAAGUGGAAUGGGAUGCAAACAUAUUUGCUAUACCUAAGGCACUGCUAACAAAUAAUGCAAGACAAAAAAGGUCUUGUGAGUCAAACAAAUCAGAUGACGUCUAUGACUGUGUGGAUAUGUAUAUUAUUCCAAAAAAUGACUUUCCAUUAAUGAAAAGAAAGGCAUCAGAUGCUCUGUUGGACUUUUCAGCAGUCAAGUCAUUUGAACUGCUGGACAACUCUGCCCUCAAGAGUCGAAUUCGUCUUAGCAAAAAGAGACACCACCGAUCACCUAAAAAGCACAAAAAAGUAAAAACAGAAAUGUUGAGCAGCAUAUUCUACAAGAUUCCCACGGUAAUACUGAAUGAAUCUCCUGUCAGCGCAUCUCCACCAUGUCACAGCAUUCCCUUUUCCAUGUCUCCUCCUUUGCAUUUACCAUCACGUCCAUACCACUACUGACCAUACCAGAUCUAUCAUCUGCAUUUGUCAGGUCAGUAAAGUCACAGAAGCAGUCAAACGCAAAGUAAAGCACAAACCAAGAAAGACAAUAUUGCAUAAAAUCUAUUUCGUUGUUCAUGUGAUCAUUUUAUUAAUAGUCUUCCUAGUUUUAUACUUCCUAGGCAGAUUAAAAGAUACCUUUACUGUAAAGACUGAAAAUUUACUGGUGUGCAAAAGAUGGGAGACAUUACAGUGGAUAAUCCAUUUGCAAGAAAGAACCUUUUUCACAUAAUUAUUUUCUUAAUAAUUUGCAAAAAGUCAUUAAUGUAAUGAUUUGCUACGUCAAUAUACAGGUUUUUAAGUUAAUAAUACACCUGUUCAUUCACCACUAGUGAUGAACUGUAAAGUACAGUAAAUCAUCAGUCUUUCUCCACAGUCCUUAUUAUGAAAUUAUGCAAAAUACCAUGUAAUAUUAUCAUGUAAUGUCAUGCGUGUGUCUUUUGCUGUCUUUAGAUUCCACUAAUGAAUUGUAAUGAGUUGUAAAUCACCAUUCAUUUAAUUUCUGACUUCAAAGUGUUAUCUGAUUUUUUUUAGUUGUGUGGUAUUACAAAUUUAUGAAAUGUUAAUUCUAGUUUCCAAUAUAAUAGUAUAUAAACUGAAAAAGUUAUGUACAUUGUGUUUUACAUUUUGAGGUAAAAAAAAGAUCAAAUCAGGAAGCCCAGGUGUCUGAGAUAAUGACCUUUUGUCUUUGUGCUCUUCCUUGCCAUUUGGCUUUUUAAGCUCAAGGCACAGCUGUGCCUUUGUCUCUAUGAUAAUGUGAAGAUAUGGGCGAUACUGUCAGACACCUCUGCAUUUGAAUGACAAUGUUAUGCUGAUGAGAUCAAAGAUGGGAAAUUUCCAGUGUCAGGCUGAUCCCUGUACUGCAUUUGCAUUCUUUGUUUACAUUGUCUCCACCUCUAUGUAUCCCUCUCCCUAGAAGUGUAUAUAAACUACAAAUGUAUAAAUGACUAUUUAGACUUUUGAUGACUACAGCGCCACGCAGCGCAUUCUCAAUAAAGAAUUCUGCUGAAGAUUACCCA